rnacentral:rRNA from 1 species
UACGUAGGCAGCGAGCGUUGUUCGGAGUUACUGGGCGUAAAGAGUGCGUAGGCGGUUUUCUAAGUUUGGUGUGAAAUCUCCCGGCUCAACUGGGAGGGUGCGCCGAAGACUGGAAGACUAGAGUGUGGGAGAGGUAAGCGGAAUUCCUGGUGUAGCGGUGAAAUGCGUAGAUAUCAGGAGGAACACCUGCGGCGAAGGCGGGUUGCUGGGCUGAUACUGACGCUGAGGCGCGAAAGCCAGGGGAGCGAACGGG